rnacentral:lncRNA from 1 species
AACUAGAAAACCCUAGGGGUUUCCCUUUCCUCACAUUAUAAAAGCAAGCCCCCACCUCCUUUACCUCUCAUCAGAAGUUUAGAAGCGAAGCCCUGCAGAGAAUUCCCGGAGACUGAAAGCCCUAGCCGUCGACUUUCUCUCUCUCCCGCGCCGCCUCUCUCCUCCUUCUCUCUCUUCGCCGCGUCUCUCCUCUCUCUCUCUCUUCGCCGCGCCUCCCUCUCUCUCUCUCGGCCACGUCUCUCUCUCCUCGCCGUGUACAGCCGCGAGUGGUGGUGGUGG